UUUCCGUAAGUGAACCUGCGGAAGGAUCAUUACUGAGUGAGGGCCCUCUGGGUCCAACCUCCCACCCGUGUUUAUUAUACCUUGUUGCUUCGGUGAGCCCGCCUCACGGCCGCCGGGGGGCAUCUGCCCCCGGGCCCGCGCCCACCGAAGACACCUAGAACUCUGUAUGAAGAUUGCAGUCUGAGCAAAAACUAAAUAAGUUAAAACUUUCAACAACGGAUCUCUUGGUUCCG
rnacentral:misc_RNA from 1 species